rnacentral:rRNA from 1 species
UACGUAGGGUGCGAGCGUUGUCCGGAAUUACUGGGCGUAAAGGGUUCGUAGGUGGCUUGUUAAGUCAGACGUGAAAUCCCUCGGCUCAACCGGGGAACUGCGUCUGAGACUGAUGAGCUCGAGUGCAGGAGAGGAACGCGGAAUUCCAGGUGUAGCGGUGAAAUGCGUAGAUAUCUGGAGGAACACCGGUGGCGAAGGCGGCGUUCUGGACUGCAACUGACACUGAGGAACGAAAGCCAGGGGAGCAAACGGG